CCAACGAUAUAUAUAUAUAUGUAUAAAUACAUGAGUACGUAGGCGUACGUAUGUGCGUGUUAGCGUCUGUGCGUGUGUGCGUCCGUUUAUUUACGAACGUCACGCACUUGCCCGAGCGAACUUACGAGAACUUACGAACGUCCUCCCCGAAGGGGUACCCGCUCCCCACCGACUCCGGCACACAUUUCCAUUGGUCAUUAGCCCCCGCAGCGCUAGCGGCAACCCGAGACCAAAACCACCGACAGCCGCACAGCUGGUCGUUCGGGCUUACAAUCGCGGUUUAUUACUCAUCGGUGGUGGUACGCCUUUGCUGCCGGCUCUCUUUCCCCGACCCUUGCGUAGUUUCGUAUUAUUUUAGCUAUCAAGUUUACAUCUCUCGAAUAGGACCCACUGUACCAGUCAUAAAGUUUACAUUUCUCGAAUACUGCGGUUUAAAAAAGUUUAAAUUUCGCGAAUUUCAAGACCAACUCCGUCGAUCGUCCGCUGCGAACUUCAGGUCUUCUGGUCAAAAGGCUUGGUCCACCACAGACACGUCUACGUCGUGCUACAACUGAUAAAAUUGGUUGAAGUAGUAUAUCUUCGUUAUGUCAUCAUGAAGAAAUUUUAAAAUUUUAAAACGUAAAACAUAAGCUAGUUAAUAAAAUAAUCUUCAAUUUGAUUAAAUCAACAAAAAACGUUAUGAUUUAGACUAAAUCUAAUUAACUAAUAACUUUUAUACUUGAUGACCCGUUUGAAGAUAAUUGUUAAACAAGAUGACUCGCCGAAGGAAAAAUGUUGAACGUCUCUGAUUUAUAAUAAAGCAUGUUAUCACUUAUGGUCUUACUAUUUACUAUAUAUUUACUUUACUUUUUUGUAAAUUUAAAAUGUAAUUGGUUAAUAUAAAAAUAACAACUUAAUCAUUUUUAUUUCAAAAAAAUCUUAAAUACCUAAUAAAUAAAUUAUAAAGGUUGUAGGUUGUCAAUAAAAACCGAUUUAUUGUCAUAAAUAACAUACUUAGUUAAAUAACUUAGUAAUAUUGAGUCAAAAGGAUGAAAUAUUUAUUUUUUUCUUUAUUUCUAAUUAAUUUAAACUGUAAGUCCAUAACAUGACAUUAUGAGUGAGGAUAUUGCUUUAUAACAGUACUACAACAUUUAGAUUUACCUAAUUGUUUAUGAAACAUUUCUAAUUUUUUUUUUUAAAAAACCUAAUUAAUUGCAUGGGUAGAUACAAACCUAAUACAAUUUUACUUUCGUAUGAUGUUUAUCAUCUUGACAAAUUGAAAAUUAUUAUUUUGCAUUUUUUAAAUUAAUUUUUUAAUCAAUUUGUCAACUUGAUAACGACUCAAUGAUAAUUUUACAUGCUCUCAGCUUGAUAAAUUUAACUUAAAUUAUUUUGCAUGCUUUAAAUUAACUAUUUAAUUAACUGAUAAAUGUGAAAAUAAAUCAAUUUUAACUUUGCACGUUAUCUGCGUGAUAACUGUAACUUAAAUUAUUUUUCUAACUUAAAA